CGUUUCGUUAAAUAUGAGUGAUAAUGGAAAAAAGACAACUUAAUUUUCUAGUCCAUGUGUCACAAAUAUUCAAUUUUCUCACGAACUAUUGGAGGUAGAAGAAUGAAAUUAACAGUAGGUUAUUAAGAAAAUAUUGGUCUACAAACUUUGUUAAGGGUUCUACGUGAUUGGAAUAAAACUUUUGGAGCUGUUGACCUAUAUUAAGGCCGACUCCAAAUAAAUUAAUUUUCAAGCCUAGACGUCCCAAAAAUCGAAGUUUCUCAGGAACUACUGGACAUAGAUGAAUAAAAAUAACGGUCCAGAGCUAACUGAAGCCCGACUGCUUUCAUAUCGGUUUUCUGUAAAGCGCUGGUGAUGUACAUGUGCAUCUCCAAGAAUCUCUCCAUGGCCCCGCCCAGUUCAGCUUGUUCAAUUUCCAACUGGGAAAGCAGGUUCACGAACCACUCGAAGGACCGCUGGUUCCUGUUUAUCCAGAAAAAAUCCACCUGGACAAGAAAUGUUAAUAGAAUUCGUCAUUAUGUUUUGGCUUUUAAGGAAUCUUGAAUAUAGUGAGUCGUGGACCUUGUUUGACAAAAUUGCCUCUAAAUGAGGAAGUUUUUGAGGUACAUGAACUGUUUUAGUAUGAAAUUGUUGGGAAAGUAAAGGACUUUCAUUAAGGAAAAACCUUCUAAGGAUAUUCAGAUUAUUUUGGGAGAAAAUUGUCAAGAAUCUUGAAGAUUUGGUAAAAAAAUUAUUAAAAAUAGUGUUAUUACCGAAAUUGCUGUAACUACCUAAAUUGUAGACAUAGAA